rnacentral:rRNA from 1 species
GACGAACGCUGGCGGCGUGCUUAACACAUGCAAGUCGAACGGAAAGGCCCUGCUUUUGUGGGGUGCUCGAGUGGCGAACGGGUGAGUAACACGUGAGUAACCUGCCCUUGACUUUGGGAUAACUUCAGGAAACUGGGGCUAAUACCGGAUAGGAGCUCCUGCUGCAUGGUGGGGGUUGGAAAGUUUCGGCGGUUGGGGAUGGACUCGCGGCUUAUCAGCUUGUUGGUGGGGUAGUGGCUUACCAAGGCUUUGACGGGUAGCCGGCCUGAGAGGGUGACCGGCGACAUUGGGACUGAGAUACGGCCCAGACGCCUACGGUAGGCAGCAGUGGGGAAUAUGGCACAAUGGGCGGAAGCCUGAUGCAGCAACGCCGCGUGCGGGAUGACGGCCUUCGGGUUGUAAACCGCUUUCGCCUGUGACGAAGCGUGAGUGACGGUAAUGGGUAAAGAAGCACCGGCUAACUGCGUG